rnacentral:rRNA from 1 species
CAUGCAAGUCGAACGAUGAUGCCCAGCUUGCUGGGCGGAUUAGUGGCGAACGGGUGAGUAAUACGUGAGUAACCUGCCCUUGACUCUGGGAUAAGCCUGGGAAACUGGGUCUAAUACUGGAUACUACCUCUUACCGCAUGGUGGGUGGUGGAAAGGGUUUUACUGGUUUUGGAUGGGCUCACGGCCUAUCAGCUUGUUGGUGGGGUAAUGGCUCACCAAGGCGACGACGGGUAGCCGGCCUGAGAGGGUGACCGGCCACACUGGGACUGAGACACGGCCCAGACUCCUACGGGAGGCAGCAGUGGGGAAUAUUGCACAAUGGGCGGAAGCCUGAUGCAGCGACGCCGCGUGAGGGAUGACGGCCUUCGGGUUGUAAACCUCUUUCAGUAGGGAAGAAGCGAGAGUGACGGUACCUGCAGAAGAAGCGCCGGCUAACUACGUGCCAGCAGCCGCGGUAAUACGUAGGGCGCAAGCGUUGUCCGGAAUUAUUGGGCGUAAAGAGCUCGUAGGCGGUUUGUCGCGUCUGCUGUGAAAGCCCGGGGCUCAACCCCGGGUCUGCAGUGGGUACGGGCAGACUAGAGUGCAGUAGGGGAGACUGGAAUUCCUGGUGUAGCGGUGAAAUGCGCAGAUAUCAGGAGGAACACCGAUGGCGAAGGCAGGUCUCUGGGCUGUUACUGACGCUGAGGAGCGAAAGCAUGGGGAGCGAACAGGAUUAGAUACCCUGGUAGUCCAUGCCGUAAACGUUGGGCACUAGGUGUGGGGGACAUUCCACGUUUUCCGCGCCGUAGCUAACGCAUUAAGUGCCCCGCCUGGGGAGUACGGCCGCAAGGCUAAAACUCAAAGGAAUUGACGGGGGCCCGCACAAGCGGCGGAGCAUGCGGAUUAAUUCGAUGCAACGCGAAGAACCUUACCAAGGCUUGACAUUCACCGGACCGCCCCAGAGAUGGGGUUUCCCUUCGGGGCUGGUGGACAGGUGGUGCAUGGUUGUCGUCAGCUCGUGUCGUGAGAUGUUGGGUUAAGUCCCGCAACGAGCGCAACCCUCGUUCUAUGUUGCCAGCACGUGAUGGUGGGGACUCAUAGGAGACUGCCGGGGUCAACUCGGAGGAAGGUGGGGAUGACGUCAAAUCAUCAUGCCCCUUAUGUCUUGGGCUUCACGCAUGCUACAAUGGCCGGUACAAAGGGUUGCGAUACUGUGAGGUGGAGCUAAUCCCAAAAAGCCGGUCUCAGUUCGGAUUGAGGUCUGCAACUCGACCUCAUGAAGUCGGAGUCGCUAGUAAUCGCAGAUCAGCAACGCUGCGGUGAAUACGUUCCCGGGCCUUGUACACACCGCCCGUCAAGUCACGAAAGUUGGUAACACCCGAAGCCGGUGGCCUAACCCCUUGUGGGAGGAGCCGU